UCUAUACUUAAAAUCAGUAAUAAGAUCUAUUGUUUUGUAGACCGAAUAUGAAGAUAUUUAUGACUAUGUGAAUUUCUAUUUGAAAAAUCAUACUUAUCAUCCUCAAAUGAAACCGUCUUUCUCCCUAUUAAAGAGAGACAAAGAAUCCGAAACAUCCAAUAGAUCCUCCAAAAUCGUGCUGAGAGAUGGAGGUUGUCCAAUGGGAACAGUUCCUAUUAGAAGAACUAACAAAGAAGAUCUCAGUAGAGAAAGAAGAUUUAAUGCUAGUUAUGCUGGUGGCAUCUUUCACGUUUCUGGCCUCCAGAGCUUUUCACGGGAUUAAAGGGUUUUGCGUCACAUGCUGCAUGGGGUGGAGAGGCAUUUAGUUCAGUCCCUACUUUCCCUCCAAUGGGUUCUGGUCAUUUUCCUGGACGUGUAAAUACUGAUAAAGAUGCAUAUUGUAGUAAAAUUUCAAUUUUGGAUUUUGCUGGCAAAACUCAGGAUCCCGGGGCUCUGAUAUCCGUGUUUGAAGAUGCUCACACACUCUACCGGGUUCUUGAUGAACCAAUUACCAAUAAGUCUUUCGGGCAUACGGUCUUUUUUGGGGGACCUGGUUCUAACAAAUAAAUUAAUGACAAUGUACUAUGUUUUUCUAGUUAAGCCUAGUAUUAGAAAAUGAUUUCCAUUUAACCUACCCUUGUUUGUAUCAUGGUCUCGUUUAUA